rnacentral:rRNA from 1 species
CCUACGGGCGGCAGCAGUGAGGAAUAUUGGUCAAUGGACGAGAGUCUGAACCAGCCAAGUAGCGUGAAGGAUGACUGCCCUAUGGGUUGUAAACUUCUUUUAUAAAGGAAUAAAACGAGGCACGUGUGCCUUGUUGCAUGUACUUUAUGAAUAAGGAUCGGCUAACUCCGGGCCAGCAGCCGCGGUAAUACGGAGGAUCCGGGCGUUAUCCGGAUUUAUUGGGUUUAAAGGGAGCGUAGAUGGGUUGUUAAGUCAGUUGUGAAAGUUUGCGGCUCAACCGUAAAAUUGCAAUUGAUACUGGCAGUCUUGAGUACAGUUGAGGUAGGCGGAAUUCGUGGUGUAGCGGUGAAAUGCUUAGAUAUCACGAAGAACCCCGAUUGCGAAGGCAGCUUACUAAACUGUGACUGACAUUGAUGCUCGAAAGUGUGGGUAUCAAACAGGAUUAGAUACCCUUGUAGUC